rnacentral:rRNA from 1 species
GUGGGGAAUUUUGGACAAUGGGCGCAAGCCUGAUCCAGCAAUGCCGCGUGCAGGAAGAAGGCCUUCGGGUUGUAAACUGCUUUUGUACGGAACGAAACGGUCCGGGUUAAUACCCUGGGCUAAUGACGGUACCGUAAGAAUAAGCACCGGCUAACUACGUGCCAGCAGCCGCGGUAAUACGUAGGGUGCAAGCGUUAAUCGGAAUUACUGGGCGUAAAGCGUGCGCAGGCGGUUUUGUAAGACAGGCGUGAAAUCCCCGGGCUCAACCUGGGAAUUGCGCUUGUGACUGCCAGGCUGGAGUGCGGCAGAGGGGGAUGGAAUUCCGCGUGUAGCAGUGAAAUGCGUAGAUAUGCGGAGGAACACCGAUGGCGAAGGCAAUCCCCUGGGCCUGCACUGACGCUCAUGCACGAAAGCGUGGGGAGCAAACAGGAUUAGAAACCCGUGUAGUCC